rnacentral:rRNA from 1 species
UGGGGAAUAUUGCACAAUGGGGGAAACCCUGAUGCAGCGACGCCGCGUGGGUGACGAAGUAUUUCGGUAUGUAAAGCCCUAUCAGCAGGGAAGAAGUUAGACAGUACCUGACUAAGAAGCCCCGGCUAACUACGUGCCAGCAGCCGCGGUAAUACGUAGGGGGCAAGCGUUAUCCGGAUUUACUGGGUGUAAAGGGAGCGCAGGUGGCAAGGCAAGCCAGAAGUGAAAACCCGGGGCUUAACCCCGCGGAUUGCUUUUGGAACUGUCUGGCUGGAGUGCAGGAGGGGCAGGCGGAAUUCCUGGUGUAGCGGUGAAAUGCGUAGAUAUCAGGAGGAACACCGGUGGCGAAGGCGGCCUGCUGGACUGUAACUGACACUGAGGCUCGAAAGCGUGGGGAGCAAACAGG